AUGCCGGUGGUGUAAUGUUAUCAUGUGAGCUUCUCAUUCUUGUGAAUUAGGUUCAAUUCCUGGCUGGCGUU